rnacentral:lncRNA from 1 species
GCCUGGAAGGACAUCACAGCUGAUUUUACUAUGGAGCAAGCAGUCUGUAGCCAGCACUGGGCUGUACCCUAGCAUUUGGUCUCUGAGCUCCAACCUCUUAGUUUCCAAUAUUUAUGUAGGAAACAGUAGGUCCCAGUGGAAUUUCCUGGUAGUGCAGCCUGCCAAACGAGUUGUUGAUAUAUAAAUAGGCAGGGCCAGGAGAGGAUCUUACUUUUUUUUUUUGAAGUCUUGCUUUCCUCUCUCUUCCAAGGAAGCUGGGGAAGGAAGGGCAGAGAAGUGGUUGUUAACUCACGCUCCUGUUUGGGAGGGGCUGGAGGAGCAGGGACAGCGUGAGUGUGCGGUGGAGAGAAAUAAGAUGGCAGAGAUGAGGCAGGGUCACGAGAUGGAGGAAGGACGUGAGACCGAAGAGCUGGCCAGAAUCUGA